AUCUUCCACAAUGGACGAAAGUCUGAUGGAGCAACGCCGCGUGUGUGAUGAAGGGUUUCGGCUCGUAAAACACUGUUGUAAGAGAAGAAUGACAUUGAGAGUAACUGUUCAGUGUGUGACGGUAUCUUACCAGAAAGGAACGGCUAAAUACGUGCCAGCAGCCGCGGUAAUACGUAUGUUCCAAGCGUUAUCCGGAUUUAUUGGGCGUAAAGCGAGCGCAGACGGUUAUUUAAGUCCGAAGUGAAAGCCCACAGCUUAACUGUGGAAGUGCUUUGGAAACUGGAUAACUUGAGUGCAGUAGAGGAGAGUGGAACUCCAUGUGUAGCGGUGAAAUGCGUAGAUAUAUGGAAGAACACCAGUGGCGAAGGCGGCUCUCUGGACUGUAACUGACGUUGAGGCUCGAAAGUGUGGGUAGCAAACAGGAUUAGAUACCCUGGUAGUCCACACCGUAAACGAUGAGUGCUAGAUGUUUGAGGGUUUCCGCCCUUAAGUGUCGCAGCUAACGCAUUAAGCACUCCGCCUGGGGAGUACGACCGCAAGGUUGAAACUCAAAGGAAUUGACGGGGGCCGGCACA
rnacentral:rRNA from 1 species